UACGUAGGGUGCAAGCGUUGUCCGGAAUUAUUGGGCGUAAAGAGCUCGUAGGCGGUUUGUCGCGUCGGCUGUGAAAACUCGGGGCUCAACCCCGAGCCUGCAGUCGAUACGGGCAGACUAGAGUGCUGUAGGGGAGACUGGAAUCCUGGUGUAGCGGUGAAAUGCGCAGAUAUCAGGAGGAACACCUGCGGCGAAGGCGGGUCUCUGGGCAACAACUGACGUGAGGAGCGAAAGCGUGGGGAGCGAACAGG
rnacentral:rRNA from 1 species